rnacentral:rRNA from 1 species
CAAUAGCGUAUAUUAAAGUUGUUGCAGUUAAAAAGCUCGUAGUUGGAUUUCUGGUGGAGCGAUCGGUCUGGCGCUUAGCGCGAGUACUUGCAUCGUCUCCGGCCAUCCUUGGGGAGAGUCUGUCUGGCAUUAGGUUGUCGGGCAGAGGAUCCUCAUCGUUUACUGUGAAAAAAUUAGAGUGUUCAAAGCAGGCUUAUGCCGUUGAAUAUAUUAGCAUGGAAUAAUAAGAUAGGACUUUGGUACUAUUUUGUUGGUUUGCGCACCAAAGUAAUGAUUAAUAGGGACAGUUGGGGGUAUUCGUAUUCCGUUGUCAGAGGUGAAAUUCUUGGAUUUACGGAAGACGAACUACUGCGAAAGCAUUUACCAAGGAUGUUUUCAUUAA